GUCCACGCCCUAAACGAUGAAUACUCGCUGUUAGCGAUAUACAGUUAGCGGCUAAGCGAAAGCGUUAAGUAUUCCACCUGGGGAGUACGCUCGCAAGAGUGAAACUCAAAGGAAUUGACGGGGCCCGCACAAGCGGAGGAGCAUGUGGUUUAAUUCGAUGAUACGCGAGGAACCUUACCCGGGCUUGAAAGUUAGUGAAGAUUUUCAGAGAUGAAUUCGUCCGCAAGGACACGAAACUAGGUGCUGCAUGGCUGUCGU
rnacentral:rRNA from 1 species